GGAAGACUGGCUUCUAAAUCUUGGAGACGGGAGGAUUACAAAUUAAUGAAUCUCGCUCAUAGGGAAGAUAAAAAGGUACUGGGAAAAGCUCAGAGAUCUUGGCAGCUGAAGGAAACAGAAAAGAGAUUUGAUCUCCUGUAGUCUCCAUUGCAUGGUUGCCAUGGAGCUGCACAAAUCAUGCGUCUUGGCUAAGGUUGGGUAACUGGGCUCAAAGGUGUUUCGCCGACUCAGCUAACAAGGGAAACAAGAGCCACGAUGAAUCAAUAAAAAUGCAGGGCCGUUAAGGGUUGGUUUUCUAUCUUGAAGGAUUAGUCGCUCAACAGUUCAACGCUCAUUCGAUGGGUUGUUCACCAGUUUGUGGAUCCCAUCCUGAAUGCCCCGUUGUUUUCAGUUUGCUCAUUUGUUCGUCAUUCUCCAAAUGACCAUACACCUGGCGGUUCUCAAAAUGACCUUUUACCAGUUCGUCGACCAUUCACCUGUUUGGAGAUUGUAAGGAUUUGAAUAGUGGGUUGGAAGGUUAUCUCAAAAAGUUUUAGUUCACUUUUUAUAAUUUCUUAUUAGUAAGUUGAGUAAAAUAGCUUCACUAGGGCGUUCCUGAUAAUUAAUAAGAAUGUAAUUUUUGGGUUGACAUUUGGGUAUGGGGUUCACAUGGGAUGAUCACGUUCUACC